rnacentral:rRNA from 1 species
UGGGGAAUUUUGGACGAAUUGGGCGAAAGCCUGAUCCAGCAAUGCCGCGUGUGUGAAGAAGGCCUUCGGGUUGUAAAGCACUUUUGUCCGGAAAGAAAUCCUUGGCUCUAAUACAGUCGGGGGAUGACGGUACCGGAAGAAUAAGCACCGGCUAACUACGUGCCAGCAGCCGCGGUAAUACGUAGGGUGCAAGCGUUAAUCGGAAUUACUGGGCGUAAAGCGUGCGCAGGCGGUUUGCUAAGACCGAUGUGAAAUCCCCGGGCUCAACCUGGGAACUGCAUUGGUGACUGGCAGGCUAGAGUAUGGCAGAGGGGGGUAGAAUUCCACGUGUAGCAGUGAAAUGCGUAGAGAUGUGGAGGAAUACCGAUGGCGAAGGCAGCCCCCU